UCGCAAUAUUUUCAAAUAUUGAUUGCCUCACGCACAUUUUUUCACUCCAUAUCAUCCACGUUAUCAUGAAGAUUAAAUCCAGCAGUGUUA